ACCAGCGGAGGGAUCAUUACCGAGUUAUUCAACUCAUCAACCCUGUGAACUUACCUAAACGUUGCUUCGGCGGGAAUAGACGGCCCUGUAAAACGGGCCGCCCCCGCCAGAGGACUCUUAACUCUGUUUCUUAUAAUGUUUCUUCUGAGUAAAACAAGCAAAUAAAUUAAAACUUUCAACAACGGAUCUCUUGGCUCUGGCAUCGAUGAAGAACGCAGCGAAAUGCGAUAAGUAAUGUGAAUUGCAGAAUUCAGUGAAUCAUCGAAUCUUUGAACGCACAUUGCGCCCGCCAGUAUUCUGGCGGGCAUGCCUGUUCGAGCGUCAUUACAACCCUCAGGCCCCCGGGCCUGGCGUUGGGGAUCGGCGGAGCGCCCCUCGUGGGCGCACGCCGUCCCCCAAAUACAGUGGCGGUCCCGCCGCAGCUUCCAUCGCGUAGUAGCUAACACCUCGCGACUGGAGAGCGGCGCGGCCACGCCGUAAAACACCCCAACUCUUCUGAAGUGACCUCGAAU
rnacentral:rRNA from 1 species